CAGCCGCCAACAUGAAAGCUGCAACAACUCUCCACAAAAAUUCCAGUGAAGAUUUACUAAACGAUGAAGCUGAAUUGGAUUGAACUUUUAAUUCUAUGUUUAAUCUUUUCUGCAGCUGAAUGUGGUUUUCACUCUCUACAAUUUUUGUCGUCUGGACUGGUAAAGUCUACAGGUCGACCUGUUUUUGAGCAACUGCUGUUAUACGAUGGAGUUGAAAUCUCACACUGUGACAGCAGAACCAGACAAGAACAGCUCAAACCCACAUUGGAAACAAAACACUUACCUAAGACGUGUGCAGGUGCACGAGCUGAUAUCCUUAUAUUUCUGUCUGAGACCACUCCAUUUAUCAACAGGACAGUCGGUGUUGUGCAGCGGCGGCGUGGCUGCAUCCAAUCAGAUGAUGGGAGCGUUUCUGCUUUUGAAGCCUGGGCAGUAAAUGGGAUGGACUCCCUGACCUUUGACCCUGAGUCUCAGAUGUGGACGUCUCAAUCGCCGUCUUCAGAAACAGUUCGACAUCGCUGGAACAAAGACAAAGAGAGGAAUUUUGCCUUUCAAUAUUUCAUCAGACAUCUGUGUCCAGAAAUGAUCCAGAAAAUUACUUUAAGAUCAGUCAAUAAAAGCACAGAACUGCGUGUGUUCGGUAAACCCACUGCGUACACUGACCAGGCGCUGCUGAGGUGUCAUGUGACCACCACUGACAAAUCAGUAAGUUCAGUGCAUUUGGUUGGAGACGCAGCUCCUCAGGCCAUUUGGACCUCAGUGACCGGUCCGGUACCAUCUGGAGACGGAUGUGUGAUCCUCAGACUGACAGCUCGGAUCUAUACACAAAAACCCAACACCUACGGAUGUACAGUACAAACAGGAAGUGACAACAAGACUGUCUACUGGGAUGGAAAAACACUUGAUGGAACUGAUCUGGCAAACAAGUUCAACAGUACCUGGAAAGUUCUGUCUGUGUUAAUGGGACUUGGGUUCAUAAUAAUUGCGAGCACCAUACUAUUCUAUGGAAUGAUAGUUCUAAGAAAAUGUGGUAAGACUAAUUUAUUUGUUCUUUUUCUUUUUUUCUUUUCUCAGUUUGUUAAUUUAUUAUCACUGAGCUGCAUGUUAGACUUUACACACUGUCCCUGAAUGUCCCCCAUUUACCUGUUUAUCAUAUUACCAUGAAACAUUUCAGCUGGUAUUGACACCAGAGGUGUCUAAAGUAUUCCCGUUCAUUCCUCAGGUAAAAUUCUAGAUACUGGGGUUUAAACAGACUUCUGUAGAAGUUGAAGUAUCAACUCAAGCUUUUUACUCAAGUAAAAGUGUAAAAGUUUCAAAACUAAUUAAAUUAUAAAAGUAAAUGUAAGAGGAAAAAAUGCCAUGAGGACAAAAGCUUAGGCGGUGCCACAGGGGCCUAUAGUGCACUACCCACCUCCCCAAAAAACAGUUUUCUAAAGGCCAUAAUGAUUAAUGUUAUAUUAACAUGAUAAUGUUGAAACAUGUGGGAUGCACUAGUCUACCUGUUUCAUAUAUGCCCAUUGAAAAUGAACACAUUUUAGUCCAAUACAAAUGUAUUAAAGAACCAUAUAUGUGUCCUACUGAGUAUUAACAUGUGUUUCAUGGAGCUGAAGAUAUGAGGACUAGUUGAAUAUAAGUAUUGGAAUGGUGCCAGAAGUCAAACUUCAGAGGCAUGUUAUCAAUAACCUUUAUUGGAAUGUAAAUGUACUUCCAAGCUUAGCUGCAGGAAUCUGUGAGGGCAACAGAUGGAAGAGAACAAAACUGGACGAGAAAACUGGUGUACCCAGGGCAGGCUUAGGAACUAUUACCCUUGUAUGGUUGUCUGUAUCCAGUAGAGUGGUUGGAACAUUUGGCUGGAGUUCUCUUGAGUCUCUGCCAUGGACAUCUUCAUACUAGACUACAUAUGUCUAAUAUGUUCUCGCUGGAGUGUGACUUGACUUGUGUCAUGUACAGGUGUAAUGGAGCACAUACAAACCAACAGGGUGUCAGAAUGGUCCAUGUUUAUGCUUCUCAUCGAACCAUAAUCAAAUUCACUCCAUCUGGAUGGCACGAUUUAUCUGGAUAGUUUUUGGGUUUUUUUAUUUGAACGAUGACAAACUGGAAUAAAAUAGGAGUGAGGAGGCUGUUUUUAACAUGUAAGGAGUAGAACAUACAGAGAACUGCAUGAAAAUGUAAGAAGUAGAAGUAAGAAGUCAGCUGAAAAAUAAUUACUCCAGUAAAGUAUAGAUAACCAAAAUUUCUACUUUAGUAAAGUAACAAAGUAUUUGUACUUUGUUACUUGACAACCCUGGACACCACUGACACAGGUACCCUUUCUUCUUGUGUAUUAAUUUUAUUAUUAUCUUGUAUUAACUUGUGAUUGUGAUUUU